GGCUUCCGGGGGGCGGCGCGAACGGCAAUGGCGGUCUUCUCCCGACGGGAGAGGAGGCUCCGCUGAAAUCGGGUCGUCCGCUACGGCGAAGCGGAGACCCAACGAGGAAAACCCCAGGCAGCAAGAGCCUGGGGUCCUGAGGCUCGGCGGGCGCCACGAGCAGCCCUCCAACUGCAGAAGGAGCCUCGUAAGGGGCUCCGGAGCGUGGAGGGGGGUUGCGGUGCUGAGAGCCGUUUCACAGUCAGCGGAGUGAAGCCGCGCUGCUGCUGCCGGUGAGCGCUGAUCCCUUUUCCUGUCAAAAUUCGGACUUGGAAGAAAAACAACUUAUUCGUGAGUAAAGACUGAAUCACUAGGAAUUACAAAUUUUAAAUGAGAAGGUUUAAUUCGGCUUGAACUUGGCUAAAAGCGGAGAGACGUGGAAACAGGAAGUCCGUCUUCCGCAGCCAUUGAACUUGAAAAAAAAGCAACUAAGGCGGAGGAGUGGAGGCUGAAAGAAAGAGAUUUUAAACUCUACACAGCCAAGCAUCUAUGGAACUUACAAUUUAAAGCAAAACCAGUAAGCUAAAGAUUUGGACUUUUUAUUUGCACUUGACUUUCCCCUUUUAUUGGAUUACAAAUUGGAAGGUGAAACCCAGAGUCAGGACUGCUUGAGCACUGUAAGAGUGAGCUGUCAGUGUUGAUUUGGAUACUGUAUAUUAGAAUUUGCAACAAUCUGAGGGUAUUGAGACCUUUUAGAGACAAAUAAGCACUGUCUGCAACAAAGUGAUUACUUUUAAACUCUGCUUAAUACUUAUAUUGGAAGGUUCUGGGACAUUAAAUCAGACUCUGAAAGACAUCUUAAGCUCCCUCUAGAGGAUUGGACUAAAACAGUGACUUUACAAAUACAUUUACUUUCGAUUCCCUUGUUGUUUGCUUGCUCUGGGCCUUUCUAUUCCUGUGGGAAAAACUCAGUGUGACCUUGACUGAUAGAUAACAUUGGAAUGAGUGGUACAAGAAGAAGAGGAAGAGUCAGACAAACAACUCUAACAACUCUAACCUCAGCCUCGCAGACACGUAGAUCAUCUGUGCCUACUUUGCCCUCAGAAGUACAACUUGAAGAAGCAGCUUUGCCACAGGCAAAAGAGGGAGAGGGUGAAGCAGAGCAGUUACAAUUGGAAGAUAUGGCCUCAGGAGCAUCUGUUUCUGUUCUAGAAAAAAUCUUUGAAAAAUUGGAAGCUUUGGACAAGAAAGUAGAUGCGCAAUCAGCAAAGAUUGAUAAAAAUACAGAUUGUCUAAACAAAUUAACUACACAGGUGGGACAGAAUACACAAGCAAUUGGACAGUUAACGGAGGCCUCAGUAGAAAAUCGAAAAUUGGCUGAGGAUACCAGACAAAAAUUAGAAAAUUUAGAGCAAGAGGUAAGACCACUCACUAAACAAGUUGGGGAACAUCAGACUUAUCUUUCUAUGAUAGAACUGCGAAAUCGUGAGAAUAAUUUGAGGAUUAGAUCAUUACAAGAGGCAGAAGAAGGAAAUCUAACUGAGUUUUUGACCAAAGAACUUUCCAAGUUCUGGAAUUUGGAAGAAAAGGACUUUAAAAUUGUGUCAGCUUUCAGACUUGGAAGAUUUAUAAAGAAGGAGAGGCCCAGGGAUUGUUUGAUUACAUUGAGAUCGAAGGAGGAAAGGGAUAAGAUUUUGGGUCUACAUUACGAAAAGUCACUGGAGGUUUUGGAUAGAAGAAUUGAGAUAUAUAAAGAUAUUCCAAGACAACUGUUGGAUCUCAGAGCCGCCUACUCUGAACUUGCUAAAUUAUUAAGGAGCAACGCAAUUCCAUUCAGGUGGGAAUUUCCCCAAGGAUUAUCUUUUACCUUUAGAGCGAGAAAGGUCAAAAUUAGAACAUUGGAAGAGAGAGAUAAAUUUCUGGCUACAUACGGAGAGGACCUACAAAAAGGAAUUGAACUACCUUCUGGGCCUGGGGCAAAGCCAGCAUUAAUACCUGCACCUGGGGAACUUGAAGAUCCAGAGAAGACACCACCCCGGGAGAAAUAACCAGACAGAUCCAGGAUGUCUCUGCAACUGUUGAGCUGGAACAUUAAUGGUUGUAAUAUUCCGGAGAAAAGGAAGAAAAUAUUUCAUAUAUUAAAAAAAGAACAAUUGGACAUUAUCUGUUUACAAGAAACACAUGUGACGAGGCUCCACAGAAAAGUGCUAAUAAAUAAAAGAUUGGGCCAGGAAUUUAUUUCGUCGGACAAAGUGAAGAAGAGAGGAGUGGUGAUAUAUGCAAAAGAGAGCCUGUCACCUAAAUUUCUAUUUAAAGAUGAACAUGGAAGGAUUUUGGCUAUUGAGAUACAAUAUCAAGGAGAGAAACUGCUGAUAUUAGGAAUCUAUGCACCCAAUGAAGGGAAAUCGGAAUUUUACAAGAAGUUGCAGGGGACAAUGCUGGAUCAUCUGGAUUACAACAACAUCAUAAUGAUGGGAGAUAUGAACGGGGUCGUAUCAACUAACAUGGACAAGUCGCAAAGUCAAAAUGUCACAAAAGAUGGCAGACUACCUAAAACCUUUUUUGAAAUGACUGACAAUAUGGACUUGAUUGACAUUUGGAGAACAAAGAACCCACUAGGUAGAGAAGGAACAUUCUUUUCUGAAGCCCAACUGACCUGGACAAGAAUCGACCAAAUAUGGAUUUCUAGAGGCCUGGCACCUAGGGUUAGAAAAGUGGAAAUCUGCCCAAAGACCUGCUCUGACCACAACGCAGUAAAGAUGGAUAUGACACUACUACCAACUGGAUCCUUUAGAUGGAAGAUGAAUGACAAUUUGUUUAGAGAUCAGGAAAUUACCAAGAAGGCCCAAAAAGUUUUGAAAGACUAUUUCGAGAUAAACAUGAAUAAUUCGGUGGAAAAAGAAUCGUCUGGGACGCAAGCAAAGCUGUCAUGAGGGGAUUCUUGAUACAACAGAAUGUAGUAAGGAAAAAAACACAAAAUGAGAAAAAAGACAAGAUCUUGGAUAAAAUAAAAGAAUUAGAGAAGAAAUUAAGAGUGAAUCCAAAGUCACAGCCAACUCUGAGAGAAAUUAAACUGUAUCAAACACAAUAUUCUAAAUUGAUAAAUCAGGAAAUUGAAUGGAAGAUUAAAUUAAUGAAACAAAAACGUGCGAGUCGGCGAAUAAAUGUGGAAAACUGCUAUCUUGGCAGUUGAAGAGAAGACAAAGAUUAAAUACGGUUACAAAUUUAGAGGUCGAUGGAAGAAACAUUCAGAAUCCAGUGGACAUUAGAAAGUGUUUCCAGAGAUAUUUUAAAAACUAUAUACCCAAGGGCCGCAAGACGAAGUCGAGAUUAAACAAUUUUUGGCAAAAAUGGAUUAUCUAAACUGUCACAAGAAAAUAGGACAAUCCUGAACUCUAAAAUAACACGACAGGAGAUUGAACAAGCUAUUCAGAACAUGCAACUUGGCAAAUCUCCAGGGCCAGACGGGCUGACCUCCAAGUAUUAUAAGACACUAAAAGACUAUUUGAUACAACCCUUGAUGGAGGUUAGCAAUGAAAUUAUGGAGGGAAGAGGGCACCGGAUUCGUGGAAGGAAGCGUUUAUCACAUUGAUACCAAAGUCAGAAGCUGAAAAGACACAACUGAAGAACUACCGUCCCAUCUCCCUUUUAAAUGUGGAUUACAAAAUAUUUGCAGAUAUUUUGGCAAGUAGAUUUAAAAAGUUUUAAACGAAGUAAUUCAUAAGGACCAGGCCGGUUUUCUCCCAGGUAGACAUCUGUUUGCUAACACAAGGAACAUUAUUGAUAUCUUGGAACUUCUCCAAACUGACAUAAAUACAAAAGCAGUUUUAAUUUUUAUAGAUGCGGAGAAGGCCUUUGAUAAUAUUUCUUGGAAAUUUAUGAUGGGAAACUUAAAAGAGAUGGGAGUGGGACGGGGUUUUGAGAAUGGGAUUGAGGCGAUAUAUUCAGAACAGAAAGCUAAACUGAUAGUGAACAAUGUGGUUACAGAAGAGUUCAAAAUUGAAAAAGGGACACGACAAGGCUGCCCUAUUUCCCCUUUGUUAUUUAUUUCGGUUCUGGAAGUGCUAUUGAACAUGAUUAGAGGGGACCAGUUGGUGGAAGGAAUUCAGGUUGGUCAGAAACAAUAUAAACUAAAAGCUUUUGCAGAUGACCUGGUUUUGACCUUGCAGAAGCCAGAGCCUAGUACGAAAAGAGUAUUACAAUUGAUUAAUGAUUUUGGUCGGGUGGCGGGAUUUAAAUUAAAUAAACAGAAAACCAAGGUUUUGGGAAAAAACUUGACUGAGACAGAGUCAGAACGGUUUCAGAAUGAGACGGAACUUAAUGUGGUUAAAAAAGUAAAAUACCUAGGGGUAAACAUAACAGCAAAAAAUCUAAGUCUAUUUAAGGAUAACUAUGAAAAAUGUUGGACAGAAAUUAAGAGAGACUUAGACAGUUGGUCAAAAUUGAAACUUUCUUUGUUAGGCCGAAUUGCUGCGAUUAAGAUGAAUGUAUUGCCAAGAAUGUUGUUUUUAUUUCAAACACUUCAGGUUUUGGACAAAAUGGAGUGCUUUCAGAAGUGGCAGAGAGACAUUUCGAAGUUUGUCUGGCAGGGCAAAAGCCCAGAAUUAAGUUUAAGAUACUAACUGAUGCAAAACAAAGAGGGGCUUUGCCCUGCCGGACUUAAAGUUGUAUUACGAAGCCGCAGCGUUCUGCUGGCUAAAAGAUUGGCUACUUCUUGAAGACACUGAUGUGUUAGAUUUGGAAGGGUUUAACAAUGUUUUUGGAUGGCAUGCAUAUUUAUGGUAUGACAAAGUUAAAGCAAAUAAGGCCUUUAAGAACCAUAUUGUUAGAAAAUCACUGUUUAAUGUCUGGACAAAAUAUAAAGACUUGCUGGAAAAUAAAACACCAAGGUGGCUUUCACCUUUGGAAGCUAAGGCCCGAAAAGACCCAAUAUGGAGGCCAAAUGGCCAAAAUAUUGGGAAAUACUAGAAAAGAUGGAGACAAUUGGAAAUUGCAGAGUUUGGAGAAAAUGAAAGACAAAGUGCGAGAUUGGUUACAUUAUGCUCAGAUUAAAGAAGUUUUUAAAAAUGACAAGAAACUAGGGUUCCAGGUGGAGAAAUCGAAACUAGAAACAGAAUUGUUAGAACCAAAGACUAAGAUACUUUCAAGGAUGUAUAACUUGCUGUUGGAAUGGAAUACACAAGAUGAAAUGGUUAAAUCGGCUAUGAUAAGGUGGGCACAGGAUAUUGGGCAUAAUAUUAUGUUUGAGGACUGGGAAAGGCUGUGGAGUAAUGGAUUGAAAUUUACUGCAUGUAAUGCUUUGAAAGAAAAUGUAAUGAAAAUGAUUUAUAGAUGGUAUAUGACCCCAGUCAAACUUGCAAAAAUUUACCACCUGUCUGAUAACAAGUGUUGGAAAUGUAAAGAGUGUGAAGGAACGUUCUUUCACCUCUGGUGGACCUGCCCUAAAGUGAAGGCGUUCUGGGAAAUGAUUUAUAAUGAAUUGAAAAAGGUAUUUAAAUAUACUUUCACUAAGAAACCAGAGGCUUUCCUUUUGGGUAUUGUCAGCCAAGGGGUGGCAAAGAAGGACCAAACAUUUUUAUGUAUGCAACAACAGCAGCAAGGAUACUACUCGCAAAACAUUGGAAAACUCAAGAUCUACCCACACUGGAAGAAUGGCAGAUGCAACUGAUAGACUAUAUGCAACUGGCUGAAAUGACUGGCAGAAUCCGUGACCUGGGAGAAGAGAGAAUCGAGGAGGAUUGGAAGAAAUUUAAGAACUACCUACAAAAACAUUGUGAUUUGACUGAAUGCUGAAUAAGAUGCUUGACUAAAUAACUGAGCACCACUUAACCUAGAAGUUUUUAAGAAAAUAAGAAAAACUGUGAAAGUUUAACUCUUUAUGAGAACUAUAAGAUCAUGAAAUAUCGAAGAGAUAUAAGAAUUUAAAUAAGAUGAUAAAUUGCUGACAAAAUGUUAUAAUGAUGAAGGUGGGAGCGGGAGAUGUGAGGAAGUCCAAAGAAAAUGUGAAAUUAUGUUAAGACGAAUGUUAUAUUGUUUAUUACAUUUAUUCCUAUUGUAAAAUCCAAUAAAUUGCUUU
rnacentral:lncRNA from 1 species